GGACGCUUAGACAUUUAAAAAGCGCUGUGCAUUAUUUUUUUACAAUUGAAUAUAAGACAAUCCGUGUAUUUUUUUGUAAAAUGUUUAGUGGCACCGUCCACUGUGGAGUGAAGGGGAUGUUGGUAACCGGACCUCAGCCUGGCUCAGCUGCUCUGAAUAACGUUGCCAAUUUCGCCUGAAGGCUUGACUAAAGUAAAAAUGAAAGCAGUGUAGCACCAACCGCUGCUUCUUUGUUCCAGUUGAGUUAUCCAACGUGUACCUCAUUUCUAGAUGGAUCUUCCUUCAAAGCAUCACCUCCAUAUGGAAUAAUGCGAUGGCUGCUUAACUAAAGGGUCAGCAAUUCAAAAGUUAAUCAGUAUCAAACCCUGAUUGUCUAACAGCACCAGGCACCAGAAACUUUAUCAGAGCUGGCUGUCGCUCUGCAAAUGCUGGGUAAACUUGUUAUCACCAACAGUACAUCCCUGAUGCACGCCUACACUGCAGAGCUUUACCCAACAGUGCUCAGGAACACAGCGACAGGCGUUUGCAUUACUGUUUCCAGAAUAGGAAGCUGCCUUGCUCCUUUUUUGUUAAGCUGAGUGAGUCGAUUUGUCUUCAAUAUCAGGUACUAUCUAGUUUAACCUGAAUUUGUGUAGCACAUCAACACAUUUCUGUGGAUAAUCAGCCCCUAUUUGUUGUUUGGAUGCUCUGUACACACUUUUAUUUUCCCCUUCUCCUUGUACAGGUGAAUAUUUUGAGUACCUGCCUUAUAUCACACUGGGGACUCUGGCUGUUGUUUCUGCCUUUUCUGUUAUUUUCCUGGCAGAGAGUUUUGGACAACCUCAAACUAUUCAACAGAUGCAAAAAAGAGAAAGGUGGGUAGCUUAUGGGGUAAAAGAUGCAGUCACCGUAGCUGAAACAAACAAGAAGGUAUUGUACCAGAACAACCACAGAACUUCCUGAUACUGGAUGUUCAGACAAGAUAAUGGCAACAAAAACUGCAACAAAACAUCUCAUAUUAUUCUUUAAUAUAGCCACCAAAACCAACCCCUCCUUAUCCUCAUCAUCCACAUGACUCUUGAGAGGAUAUGAUGACUUUUUAUAGUUUACGUACAUGUUUAUGAGGUUAAAAAUUGAAUUAGUAGAAAUUAAACAAUAUUCAAACAUUUCCUUUUUGCUGACAACCAAAUAAUGGUUUCUUUAUUUGCAUUUUAUCCCAACAGCUUGAAGUGCCCGUGCAUAACAAGAAAACAACAUUCAUAACUUGCUGUGCUUGACGAAAGUCGAUUGAUUGUCUUAAAAAUUGCUUAUAUAAACAUUGUACUAUUAAUUGUAUAUAAUUCAUACCAGUUACUGUUGUUCCUAAUCAACAUUACCUUCUGGUAAAUGCAAUCUGUAUUAAUCGAUUUAAUUACAUUUUUUAUGAGGAAUAACAUUGAAGUAAUUAAAGCUCGACCAAUACAUUUUGGAGUAUUUGUACAUGCACUUUAUGAAUGUUAUCACAAAUCACAUAGAUGUAUACAACACAUUAACAUGGAUGUGCUUUGCAACAUGAGUGUUUGGUGCUAAUUCUAAAUUAAUUAAUACAAAAUAAAAAAAACACACAAUUGUGUUGUUUGAAUAACUGUCAAGGUC